rnacentral:rRNA from 1 species
AACGUAGUACGCAAGCGUUAUUAGGAAUUACUGGGCGUAAAGCGCGUGUAGGCGGAUGUUUAAGUCACUGUUGAAAGCUCCUGGCUAAACUGGGAGAGGUGCGGUGAUACUGGACAUCUAGAGGGGGUCAGAGGGAGGCAGAAUUCCGGGUGUAGUGGUGAAAUGCGUAGAGAUCCGGAGGAAUACCAGAGGCGAAGGCGGCCUCCUGGGACUUACCUGACGCUGAGAAGCGAAAGCAUGGGGAGCGAACGGG